UGGGGAAUAUUGGAUAAUGGGGGGAACCCUGAUCCAGCCAUGCCGCGUGUGUGAAGAAGGCCUUAUGGUUGUAAAGCACUUUAAGCGAGGAGGAGGGUACUGGUAUUAAUACUACCAGGUACUGGACGUUACUCGCAGAAUAAGCACCGGCUAACUCUGUGCCAGCAGCCGCGGUAAUACAGAGGGUGCGAGCGUUAAUCGGAUUUACUGGGCGUAAAGCGUGCGUAGGCGGCUAAUUGAGUCGGAUGUGAAAUCCCCGAGCUUAACUUGGGAAUUGCAUUCGAUACUGGUUAGCUAGAGUGUGGGAGAGGAUGGUAGAAUUCCAGGUGUAGCGGUGAAUUGCGUAGAGAUCUGGAGGAAUACCGAUGGCGAAGGCGGCCAUCUGGCCUAACACUGACGCUGAGGUACGAAAGCAUGGGGGGCAAACAGG
rnacentral:rRNA from 1 species